rnacentral:lncRNA from 1 species
GCCAGCCGCACCGCCGGCCCGCCGCCUCCCGUCGUCAGAUGCUGUGGAGCACUGCCAGGGGUCCGAACAUCCACUGAAUCCUGCGACAGCGGAGUGACGUCAUGCGAUUCAACGGCCUCAUCGUCUUCCGGCCCGGCUGCGAGUGACGUCACACGCGCCAAGCUCAACGCCGCCGACAUCACGCGCGAAGGGGCGGGCGGUGUCGGCUGCGAGAGUCCUCUGUCGGCCACCUCUGAAAGCUCUAAUUCACCGAGGUCUAUGGCGACGCAGAAGCCGCGGUCCGGGGUCGAGUAUCAGUGCCUGGACAGGGCCAGGCUGCUGGCUCAGCUGAGCGACCCCGGGACGCCGGUCCGGAGCGGCGGCGCGUUCAACGGAGCUGGAGCUGGCUCUGGAGCUGGUGCUGGUGCUGGAGCUGGAGCUGGAGCUGGCGCCGGAUAUUCGGUCGACAUCUAGUCCGGCGCUGUACCAGGGCGCGGCGCUGACCCGACCUAGGCCGACCCGGCGUUGGGCCGUCGCGCGCGCCGCUGUCUGAUCUGUCUUCUGCGCCGGUGUCUCAUCCGUCUCCGGAGUUGUUGUUUGAUCUGUCUUCGGCACUGAUGUUUGAUCUGUCGUCUGCGGCGCCGCUGCCUGAUGCGUUUUGGGGCCGGUGCCUGAUCUGUCUUCGGCGCUGGUGUCUCAUCCGUCUUCGAAGCCACCGUCUGAUCUGUCUUCGGCGCCGGUGUCUUGAUCUGUCGUCUUGCGGUGCUGAGACGGCACAGCCGGCGCUUGAGACGGCAGCCUGUCCCGGCGAGUGCCCCUGCUGGCGGCCUGCCAGUCUCCAUAGACAGCGGUGUACUCAUCAUCUCCCUACUCGAGGCUGUUUUGUUUUCGCUGGGUUCGUGUCCCAGACAUGUGUUGCCCUGUGUUGCGCAGUGCUGUGUGCUUCUCCCUUCCGGUUUGUUUUUGUACCGUCAUUGGACACCGUCUAAGAGUGCCUGAAGCUCCUGCUACCCAACAAAAACCGCCUAAGGGCCACACACGCGGUAGAGAGAAGCGGCAGCCAACUGCCUGCCCCACCAUUGAUGCUGAACAUCUCCGCUAAUCGCGGUGACUUCUGCACAUCACGCCAAGCGUUGUUGGUAUACGUUGUAAAGGACUGUCUUCAGCUGCGCUGAAGCCGCCAGCCCGCUCAAAUGAUCUCAACCUCCGUCACUGCACGCGGUCGGCGUGUGCGUAUCAAAUCGUGAUCUUUAACCACGUGCAGAGCGAAGACAUUGCAACUGAUGAAACACACACGCACUGCCGACUGUUGUAUUUCCUGGGCCGCUUCGUACCCCAGUAUGCAGGCUGUAAUUUUUUUGGGGGGCGGACGUGGGGUCUGUCUCAAAUCGGCGAAAUGUUCCUGUUUUUCGUUUUGGUCCCGACUCAGAACCAGCACAUGCUAAUUCACGCAAGACCUGCCUCGGUCCGAAUGUUCUCUGCGCGUUUUGCAUCGCCUGCGAGAUUCGCGUGUCCCACCCGUACGCCGUCCGGUCGGCCGGCUUCGUCGGCGCCGCGAGCCCCUGGCCGCUCCUCUGCUGCGUCCGCGGGGCCAGCAGGUGAUCUCAUAUCGCGGCGCGCCUCUCGGGCUGCGUCGGCUGCCGCGUCCUCGCUCCACCCGCGCUCCCGCCGGCCUGUCGCGUCGCGUGACGUCACGUCACGUCACGUCACGUCACCCACUGCCAGCGUCACGGGCGUCCCUUGGUCCGCCUACGUGUUUGUGUUUACUAGCAGCGCGUAUGUGAUAACGAGCGAGCUUGGGCGUGUUUGUCUGCUUGUCUGCCGCGCUUGGUGUCGCUCCUUUCGAUGUACCUGUUUGUGCAUGGGGUCCUGUGACAGAGUGGCGGCACGGCCCUGUCAGAUGGGGUCAGGGGUCCGCUGGCUCCUCUCCAUGUCAGAGUUAGACUCAAGUUCGUUCCUAUGCGGGGGUGGUGCGCAUUGAUCGCUGGGUCAGCUCGCCCGUGCUGCCAUCUGUGGACGAUCUCGGCGGCUCCGAGGGCUGCAGCUGGCAGAAGUCAACGCUCAACUGUUUUCAUUGUCACUUGGGUGACUUAGCGAACGCAGACGUCCGUUGCCUACUGGCGGCUUAAUCCAGCCCGUUGGCGGGGUCGAUGUCGAUUUAAUUGCGCAGCAAGACGCUGUCGGUGCAUCUAGGAUCAGAGUAAUUUUUGCGCUAGUUGGAGACAAAUUUCUCCCUUAUUCGCGACCUUUAGAUCACAUAGAGCGAGCAGUUGUCCGAUGUUGAAUGAACUCAUUGUUUGUCUGACUGUGACGGAUGCCCUUUUCGCUUGAUUACUAGCGUAGGUCGACAUUGGCGUCGCGACAUACGGUACGCGACUCAUCCCAGAUGUGCCCUAUUUGCACGUCUCCCUGCCACGCUACUGUAUUCUAACCCUGCUCAGCUCCUCCGUAUGUACGUUCUGUCAAGCCUUGGUUGGGAGAUCAUGCAAAACGUCACUGCCAUCAUUGCAGUGAGUGGACGCUGAAUGAUGCCAUACGCUGCUGUCGCCAUCUGUGGAUGUGCCAGAGCGCUAGAAGUUCGCAGCUGCUCCAUGUAGUCGUUCGGAGUUGAGACGCGCCAGUGGCGCGUCUCAAAACUCUCCAGUUUGUACUUUUGUACGACGCCGUUGGUGUCUAUUCGAAUAAACAGAGCACAAAGUAUGA